UCCUCGGUAGCUCAGUUCGGUAGAGCAGUUGGCUGUUAACCAAUUGGUCGGCGGUUCGAGUCCGUCCCGGGGAGCCA
rnacentral:tRNA from 1 species